rnacentral:rRNA from 1 species
UACGGAGGAUUCAAGCGUUAUCCGGAUUUAUUGGGUUUAAAGGGUGCGUAGGCGGGUUAUCAAGUCAGCGGUAAAAUCGUGGAGCUCAACUCCAUCCAGCCGUUGAAACUGCAUCCCUUGAGUGCGCGAGAAGUAUGCGGAAUGCGUGGUGUAGCGGUGAAAUGCAUAGAUAUCACGCAGAACUCCGAUUGCGAAGGCAGCAUACCGGCGCCCAACUGACGCUGAAGCACGAAAGCGUGGGUAUCGAACAGG